AUCACUUCUUGGCCUUUUGGCUAAGAUCAAGUGGAGUAUCAAGUAUAUUAUCUAAUAUGGCAAACUUUUAAUAGCAUUCUUAGGUAAAACAUAU
rnacentral:snRNA from 1 species